rnacentral:rRNA from 1 species
ACGCUCAGGUGCGAAAGCGUGGGGAGCAAACAGGAUUAGAUACCCUGGUAGUCCACGCCGUAAACGAUGUCGACUUGGAGGUUGUGCCCUUGAGGCGUGGCUUCCGGAGCUAACGCGUUAAGUCGACGCCUGGGGAGUACGGCCGCAAGGUUAAAACUCAAAUGAAUUGACGGGGGCCCGCACAAGCGGUGGAGCAUGUGGUUUAAUUCGAUGCAACGCGAAGAACCUUACCUGGUCUUGACAUCCACGGAAGUUUUCAGAGAUGAGAAUGUGCCUUCGGGAACCGUGAGACAGGUGCUGCAUGGCUGUCGUCAGCUCGUGUUGUGAAAUGUUGGGUUAAGUCCCGCAACGAGCGCAACCCUUAUCCUUUGUUGCCAGCGGUCCGGCCGGGAACUCAAAGGAGACUGCCAGU